AUUGAACACUGGCGGCAGGCCUAACACAUGCAAGUCGAACGAGUGGCGGACGGGUGAGUAAUGUCUGGGAAACUGCCUGAUGGAGGGGGAUAACUACUGGAAACGGUAGCUAAUACCGCAUACCAUCGGAUGUGCCCAGAUGGGAUUAGCUAGUAGGUGGGGUAACGGCUCACCUAGGCGACGAUCCCUAGCUGGUCUGAGAGGAUGACCAGACACACUGGAACUGAGACACGGACCAGACUCCGACGGGAGGCAGCAGUGGGGAAUAUUGCAUAGUGGGCGCAAGCCUGAUGCAGCCAUGCCGCGUGGAUGAAGGAGGCCUUCUGGUUGUAAAGUACUUUCAGCGGGGAGGCGUUACCCGCAGAAGAAGCACCGGCUAACUCCGUGCCAGCAGCCGCGGCGG
rnacentral:rRNA from 1 species